rnacentral:rRNA from 1 species
GAUGAACGCUAGCGGCAGGCUUAAUACAUGCAAGUCGAGGGGUAGCAAGAUUGUAGCAAUACAAUUGUUGACGACCGGCAAACGGGUGCGGAACACGUACACAACCUUCCUACAAGUGGGGAAUAGCCCAGAGAAAUUUGGAUUAAUACCCCGUAACAUAGCGAUGUGGCAUCACAUUGCCAUUAUAGCUUCGGAUCUUGUUGAUGGGUGUGCGGCUGAUUAGAUAGUUGGCGGGGUAACGGCCCACCAAGUCUACGAUCAGUAGCUGAUGUGAGAGCAUGAUCAGCCACACGGGCACUGAGACACGGGCCCGACUCCUACGGGAGGCAGCAGUAAGGAAUAUUGGACAAUGGACGCAAGUCUGAUCCAGCCAUGCCGCGUGAAGGAUUAAGGUCCUCUGGAUUGUAAACUUCUUUUAUAAGGGACGAAAAAAGGUCUUUCUAGAUCGUCUGACGGUACCUUAUGAAUAAGCACCGGCUAACUCCGUGCCAGCCGCCGCAGUAAUAC